UUUAUUAUAAAAUGGUUCUCACUAUGUUUUUGUAGGUAUAAAAAGAGAUACAUGGCCACUACAAUGUGGUGUAGUGUAAGAGAUUAUUAUUAAUUUAUAAUGUGGAUCUCACCUAUUUAAUGUUUUAUAAACCCAUAUUUUUAUGGGAAAUCACCAUCUUUGUGGACUUUUAAGGAAUUUAUAUUCAUUUUCACAGUAAUUUUUAAUCUUUUCUAUUUUUGUAUUUGUGUUUUUUAAUUUUAUGUUAACUUUGAUUUUUUAUUCAUUUUUACAUUUCUUCCUCUCUUUCACUGUUCAUUGAUUUCUUAUCUUUCUUAUUUCUUAACUGAAACUAAUUCAAAAUUGAUCACUUUGGAGAACCUUCACUUUAUUUGGAGAAAAGAAGUAAGACUCAUACGUGGAGGACUUUGAUUGGUCAUUAUAGUCAUCUGGGUCAACUAGAUUUGAGCAGAAGGAUGUAGUAUAGAAAAAGUUGAUGAGAGAUGGGUUAGCCUUGGGUAUCAGUAGGAGCGCCGUUAAAGGAGGAGGGUAAGAUCACAGUUUCAUCUUCUUCUCCCAAACUCAACCAGCUCUGCUUUGGCAUCACAACCUCGACGACUUCAGUGCGUCCACCACCAUUGAGUUCUUAGUAUGUUUGACCUAUAAUUCUUAUUCAAUUCAUUAGUUCUUAAUAUGGAAUUGUUCGAUCAAAACCCAUUUGACCCCAUUAACCAAAACCCAAGAAAAGUUGUGACUGCGACUGGCAGUUUCAAGGUAUGAAUUUUCUAUACACAGUUAAGAAAGAAUUUGGAAAUUUCAAAGAUAAGUAAAGAUUUUAUGGGAUGAAUUGACUUUUUAGGAAUGAAGCUCAUAUGGUCGGUAAAGAUGAAGUUCACCAGAUUUUGAUGGCUGGUAAAGAUGGAGCUCAUCGGAUUUUGGAUAGUUGCUAAAGAUGGAGGUCACAUUUUGGAUUGCUGCUAAAGAUAGAUGUCGCUGGCUUUUGAUUGCCGGUAAAAUGGAGAAUGUAUUUUUGAUUUAAAAGUUUUAGUUUCUACAUUUUUGCACUAAAAAUAUAUCACCGUAAAAUUGAUUAGGAUUUUAUCUAUUUCUGUAUCUUUGACAAAUGUCCUAAAAUUAAAUAAUGAAUUAAUAAAAAAGCAAUUAUAAAAAAUUAGUUAGAUAAUACAUUAUAUGAUGGACACGUGGGAGACAAAUAGUAUUUCUCAAUUAAAUAGCAAAUGUCAGAAAAUAGAGUUGAAUAAAAAAAUAUUUUAAUCAAUCCUAGUUUUAAUAUGGUACAUUUAAGCCCACGGUAUUACAAUGCACUUACCCAAUUAAAACAAGCUAUUAAAUGCACUUACCUAAUUGGAACUGAAAGUGUAUUUGUGUAUUAAAUUUAUUAGAGUUAAAUUAUAAUA